rfam:Homo sapiens chromosome 17, GRCh38 reference primary assembly.
UUUCUUUUUUGGCUUUUUGACUAAGAUCCAAUGUAGCAUGUUUUUUUCAGUUGAAUAACUGAUUUUUUUUGGUCUGAGGACGAUAUAUUUAAGUGGGGUUUUGGAAUAGAAAGAUGAAAUAGGAGCUGGUUUUUUCCACUCUGCGCAUCGACUUGGUAUUGCCGUGUUUCCAAAGAGGGUCAAAACACG